rnacentral:piRNA from 1 species
UGCCAGGAGAGGUGUUUGAACUACGUGCU